rnacentral:rRNA from 1 species
UACGAAGGGGGCUAGCGUUGCUCGGAAUCACUGGGCGUAAAGCGCACGUAGGCGGGUCGUUAAGUCGGGGGUGAAAUCCUGGAGCUCAACUCCAGAACUGCCUUCGAUACUGGCGAUCUUGAGUCUGGGAGAGGUGAAUGGAACUCCGAGUGUAGAGGUGAAAUUCGUAGAUAUUCGGAAGAACACCAGUGGCGAAGGCGGCUCACUGGCCCGGUACUGACGCUGAGGUGCGAAAGCGUGGGGAGCAAACAGG